GGGAAAGUGCUAUGAAAGGGACACGUUUUGAAUGGGACAAAUCCAAUAACUUUCGUUUAGAAAUAAAUAGGCGGUUUUUUAUUUCUGCAUUGUGACAACAUCAGUCCAUAGACGAUAUUGACGCAACUUUCAUUCAGUUGUCAAAUGUUACAAAAUGGCGAAACAGCGUUGAAUAUUUUUGUGCCCCAAAGUAAUUUAUUUAAUGUUUUCCAGCUUUGUUUUUUGAAUAAUUAUUGAAGUUUUUGAAAGUGGUUGUUUCGCGAACUGAAUAGUUGGUUUAUUACAAAAAAGGUUAUAAUUAAGCAGGCAAGGUCACCUAACAUAAAAAUUCCUCCAAAGAAGAAGGAACGAGUUGACCCCAGAGUAAUUGAAGAAGCCGUUAAUGAAGUAAUAGAAAAGAAAAUGAAAAAGAUAAAAAAGAAAACAAGAAAAAAGGUAAACAGUUACAGAAGAAAACUACGAAAAAGACCAAGGUAGUCGUUGAAUCAUCCAGUGAUAGUGAUCGCACAAUUUUGAAUUUUGAUUCCAGUGAGGAUUUUUCUGAUUGCAAUAAUGAACCACUACAAAAAUUAAGAAAACUUUCAAAUACGCAGGAGGACAUAAAUGCUGUGUCUGUAAACAGAAAUUUUCAACUAGUAAGGAAGACUGGUUCCAAUGUAAACUUUGCCAGAAAUGGGCAAAUGAAAAUAGUGGAGUAAAAGGCGUCUUUAAUUUUUUUUUGUAGCUUAUGUCAUUAAUACCUAUAUUACUUAAACUCCACUCAAAAAGUAAUUUUGAUCUCAUUUAUUUUGUAAGAUUACUUUCAUGAUACUUUAUAGCACAAUUAUGUUGUAUUAUGUAACUUAUCAUCAAGAAUUUGGUACAUGUCCCUUUCAUGACUAGCACUGUCCCAUUCAAUACCACCCAGUCAUGAAGGGGACAAAAUCAAACAUUUUCUUAUUUGAAUUUUAUGCUGAAUUGAUCACAGAAGAAAUGAUUAGAGUUAUUUUUUUUUAAAGAUAAAUAAAUAUAUUUGAAGCCUA